rnacentral:rRNA from 1 species
UCAGCAGCCGCGGUAAUACGUAGGGGGCAAGCGUUGUCCGGAAUCAUUGGGCGUAAAGGGCGCGUAGGCGGGCAAAUAAGUCUGAUGUGAAAGUGCGGAGCUUAACUCCGUAAAGCAUUGGAAACUGUUUGUCUUGAGGACAGGAGAGGAAAGUGGAAUUCCACGUGUAGCGGUGAAAUGCGUAGAGAUGUGGAGGAACACCAGUGGCGAAGGCGACUUUCUGGACUGUAACUGACGCUGAGGCGCGAAAGCGUGGGGAGCGAACAGGAUUAGAUACCCUGGUAGUCCACGCCGUAAACGAUGAGUGCUAGGUGUAGAGGGUAUCGACCCCUUCUGUGCCGCAGUUAACACAAUAAGCACUCCGCCUGGGGAGUACGGCCGCAAGGUUGAAACUCAAAGGAAUUGACGGGGGCCCGCACA